UGACCUCGAUACAGUA
rnacentral:rRNA from 1 species